rnacentral:rRNA from 1 species
UACAGAGGUCUCAAGCGUUGUUCGGAUUCAUUGGGCGUAAAGGGUGCGUAGGCGGCGCGGUAAGUCGGGUGUGAAAUCUCGGAGCUUAACUCCGAAACUGCAUUCGAUACUGCCGUGCUUGAGGACUGGAGAGGAGACUGGAAUUUACGGUGUAGCGGUGAAAUGCGUAGAUAUCCGGAGGAACACCAGUGGCGAAAGCGGCCACCUGGACUGCACCUGACGCUGACACGCGAAAGCUAGGGGAGCGAACGGG